rnacentral:rRNA from 1 species
GAUGGACGCUGGCGGCGUGCCUAAUACAUGCAAGUCGAGCGAACGGACGAGAAGCUUGCUUCUCUGAUGUUAGCGGCGGACGGGUGAGUAACACGUGGAUAACCUACCUAUAAGACUGGGAUAACUUCGGGAAACCGGAGCUAAUACCGGAUAAUAUUUUGAACCGCAUGGUUCAAAAGUGAAAGACGGUCUUGCUGUCACUUAUAGAUGGAUCCGCGCUGCAUUAGCUAGUUGGUAAGGUAACGGCUUAUCAAGGCAACGAUGCAUAGCCGACCUGAGAGGGUGAUCGGCCACACUGGAACUGAGACACGGUCCAGACUCCUACGGGAGGCAGCAGUAGGGAAUCUUCCGCAAUGGGCGAAAGCCUGACGGAGCAACGCCGCGUGAGUGAUGAAGGUCUUCGGAUCGUAAAACUCUGUUAUUAGGGAAGAACAUAUGUGUAAGUAACUGUGCACAUCUUGACGGUACCUAAUCAGAAAGCCACGGCUAACUACGUG